rnacentral:lncRNA from 1 species
GAACGCCACUUCUCCGACUCCUCCCGAUCCACAAGUUGCCAAAGUAUUGCUACAAUGGAUUAAUCAGUGUGUCGUGCAUCUGAUUUGUACCGUCGUAUGUGUUGAUUUUGAUGCGAAUUACGGAAAAUGCACAACCAUGGAGAUUCGAAGCAAUACGGCUUCAAUGAAGAUGAAGGAGAACAGGAAGCGGUUACCUUUUUGUUGCGCUUGAAGCCUGCUCCCACGCCACCGACAAGGCGAAGGAAACCCCCAAUCUGCCAGACGACAACGACGAGACCCUAAAGGCUGGGACGUGGUGAUUGAAAGGCCUCCUUGCAGCUCUAUGAAGGAGAGCAGGUUCAGUCUGGAUGCUCAGGAUGGAAGAGGGUGGAAUCAGACAAAUAAUUUUCAAGCAACAGCAAUUAAGCCUUCAGCUCCUCCUCACGAGCCUUGGGACCCUUUUUGGUGGAGCCCUACCGCUCUAGGAUUUGCCUCCUACUACAAUGCAGCCAGAUUACAACCUGGAUACCCUGCACUUCUUAGCCCUCGAGUUCAAUCUCAAUCCACGUGCAGCAUUUCCAGGCCGAUUUCUGCCACCGGAUUAGCUUCUUUUGGUGCCCAACAUGCAGAUUUUGGUUGUUCCAGUGCAGCUGUUGUUGGCAAGCCACCGAAAGCCCUCCAAAGAAAGAGUGGCGCAAUGGAAAAAAGCACAUUGCCUUUGGAUAAUGGGG